rnacentral:rRNA from 1 species
GAUUAAGUUAUUAAGGGCGCACGGUGGAUGCCUUGGCACUAGAAGCCGAUGAAGGACGUUACUAACGACGAUAUGCUUUGGGGAGCUGUAAGUAAGCUUUGAUCCAGAGAUUUCCGAAUGGGGAAACCCAGCAUGAGUUAUGUCAUGUUAUCGAUAUGUGAAUACAUAGCAUAUCAGAAGGCACACCCGGAGAACUGAAACAUCUUAGUACCCGGAGGAAGAGAAAGAAAAUUCGAUUCCCUUAGUAGCGGCGAGCGAAACGGGAAGAGCCCAAACCAACAAGCUUGCUUGUUGGGGUUGUAGGACACUCUAUACGGAGUUACAAAGGACGACAUUAGACGAAUCAUCUGGAAAGAUGAAUCAAAGAAGGUAAUAAUCCUGUAGUCGAAAAUGUUGUCUCUCUUGAGUGGAUCCUGAGUACGACGGAGCACGUGAAAUUCCGUCGGAAUCUGGGAGGACCAUCUCCUAAGGCUAAAUACUCUCUAGUGACCGAUAGUGAACCAGUACCGUGAGGGAAAGGUGAAAAGCACCCCGGAAGGGGAGUGAAAUAGAACCUGAAACCGUGUGCUUACAAGUAGUCAGAGCCCGUUAAUGGGUGAUGGCGUGCCUUUUGU